UAGGGAAUAUUAGUAAUGGGCGAAAGCCUGAACUAGCAACGCCGCGUGUGCGAAGAAGGCCUUCGGGUUGUAAAGCACUUUUUGAGAGGAUGAGGAAGGACGGUACUCUCAGAAUAAGUCUCGGCUAACUACGUGCCAGCAGCCGCGGUAACACGUAGGAGGCGAACGUUAUCCGGAUUUACUGGGCGUAAAGCGCGUGUAGGUGGUUUGAUAAGUAGGGCGUGAAAGCUCCUGGCUCAACUAGGAGAGGCCGUUCUAAACUGCCGAACUAGAGGAUGGUAGAGGGAGGUGGAAUUCCGGGUGUAGCGGUGGAAUGCGCAGAUAUCCGGAGGAACACCAGUGGCGAAAGCGGCCUCCUGGACCAUUCCUGACACUCAGACGCGAAAGUUAGGGUAGCAAACGG
rnacentral:rRNA from 1 species